UACGAAGGGGGCUAGCGUUGCUCGGAAUCACUGGGCGUAAAGGGCGCGUAGGCGGCGUUUUAAGUCGGGGGUGAAAGCCUGUGGCUCAACCACAGAAUGGCCUUCGAUACUGGGACGCUUGAGUAUGGUAGAGGUUGGUGGAACUGCGAGUGUAGAGGUGAAAUUCGUAGAUAUUCGCAAGAACACCGGUGGCGAAGGCGGCCAACUGGACCAUUACUGACGCUGAGACACGAAAGCGUGGGUAGCAAACAGG
rnacentral:rRNA from 1 species